rnacentral:rRNA from 1 species
UGGAUCCAGACUUUGAUUAUGGCUCAGGACGAACGCUGGCGGCGUGCUUAACACAUGCAAGUCGAACGGAGAACUUAUUUCGGUAAGUUCUUAGUGGCGAACGGGUGAGUAACGCGUGGGCAACCUGCCCUCCAGUUGGGGACAACAUUCCGAAAGGGAUGCUAAUACCGAAUAUGCUCCCUCCUCCGCAUGGAGGAGGGAGGAAAGAUGGCCUCUGCUUGCAAGCUAUCGCUGGAAGAUGGGCCCGCGUCUGAUUAGCUAGUUGGUGGGGUAACGGCUCACCAAGGCGAUGAUCAGUAGCCGGUCUGAGAGGAUGAACGGCCACAUUGGGACUGAGACACGGCCCAAACUCUUACGGGAGGCAGCAGUGGGGAAUCUUCCGCAAUGGACGAAAGUCUGACGGAGCAACGCCGCGUGAGUGAUGAAGGUCUUCGGAUUGUAAAACUCUGUUGUUAGGGACGAAAGCACCGUGUUCGAACAGGUCAUGGUGUUGACGGUACCUAACGAGGAAGCCACGGCUAACUACGUGCCAGCAGCCGCGGUAAUACGUAGGUGGCAAGCGUUGUCCGGAAUUAUUGGGCGUAAAGAGCAUGUAGGCGGGCUUUUAAGUCUGACGUGAAAAUGCGGGGCUUAACCCCGUAUGGCGUUGGAUACUGGAAGUCUUGAGUGCAGGAGAGGAAAGGGGAAUUCCCAGUGUAGCGGUGAAAUGCGUAGAUAUUGGGAGGAACACCAGUGGCGAAGGCGCCUUUCUGGACUGUGUCUGACGCUGAGAUGCGAAAGCCAGGGUAGCAAACGGGAUUAGAUACCCCGGUAGUCCUGGCCGUAAACGGUGGAUACUAGGUGUAGGAGGUAUCGACCUCUUCUGUGCCGGAGUUAACGCAAUAAGUAUCCCGCCUGGGGACUACGAUCGCAAGAUUGCAACUCAAAUGAAUUGACGGA